CGACAAACCGGUGCGACUUCUUAAGAAGGGAACCCAGGCCGACCCUCCCCUCUCCCCGCCGGGAAAGGUGCAGGGAGGAGGGGCUUGGCUGGAGGAGCCCAUUGGCUCUGCGCGCAGAGGCUGAGCGCCCCGCGCGGACCUCCUCGACCAGCCGCUGAGAUCCAUCCGGGAAAGUUGUUUGUUUAGGUGUCACUCCCGGUAACUUUGAAGGGUGCGGCUGGGAAGGGAUCCCCCACCCCCGCACCUCGCCUCAUGCAGGAGCUGCUUCCUGACGUGGAGGCGAGAGGGCUCGGGGGCACCAGCGGUCAUUCAAAGGGUGUUGCCGGGGCCUGAGUCUCAGAGAUUUCCUGCUGACGACUGACCCUAACUCAAAGCUGAUGGGGAAGGAAGCCCAGAUGAUAGCGGAGGUAACGAUUCAGUGUCCUACAGAACAGGGCUGAGUAGGGUCAGAAUGGACCUAGAAUGGCAAAUGGAGAAUAACCAUCCCAUCCCCGGAGUUUUGGGAGUCCAUUACAGUGUCUGGAGCAGUCAUCCUUAACCUUAUCUGUGGAUUAGAGUCACCUGGAGAGCUUCUGAAAUUCCUGAUGCCUAAAAUGCACUGUAAACCAAUUAAAUUGGAAUCUCUGUGUGGGUACCAGGCGCAGUAUUUCUUAAAGGUCCCUGGCCCUGGCCAGUGUGGCUC